AUUGAACGCUGGCGGCAGGCCUAACACAUGCAAGUCGAACGAGUGGCGGACGGGUGAGUAAUGUCUGGGAAACUGCUCGAUGGGGGGGGAUAACUACUGGAAACGGUAGCUAAUACCGCAUACCAUCGGAUGUGCCCCGAUGGGAUUAGCUAGUAGGUGGGGUAACGGCUCACCUAGGCGACGCUCCCUAGCUGGUCUGAGAGGAUGACCAGCCACACUGGAACUGAGACACGGUCCAGACUACUACGGGAGGCAGCAGUGGGGAAUAUGGCACAAGGGGCGAAAGCCGGAUGCAGCCAUGCCGCGGGUAUGAAGAAGGCCUUCGGGUUGUAAAGUACUUUCAGCGAGGAGGCGUUACUCGCAGAAGAAGCACCGGCUAACUCCGUGCCAGCAGCCGCGGUAAUUC
rnacentral:rRNA from 1 species